rnacentral:rRNA from 1 species
AUUGAACGCUGGCGGCAGGCUUAACACCUGCAAGUCGAGCGAGCGGCGGACGGGUGAGUCAUUUCUGGGAAACUGCCUGAUGGAGGGGGAUAACUACUGGAAAAGGUAGCUAAUACCGCAUACCAUCAGAUGUUCCCAGAUGUGAUUAGCUAGUAGGUGGGGUAAUGGCUCACCUAGGCGACGCUCCCUAGCUGGUCUGCGAGGAUGACCAGCAAACCUGGAACUAAGACACGGUCCAGACUCCUACGGGAGGCAGCAUUGGGGAAUAUUGCACAAUGGGCGCAAGCCUGAUGCAGCCAUGCCGCGUGUGUGAAGAAGGCCUUCGGGUUGUAAAGCACUUUCAGCGAGGAGGCGUUACUCGCAGAAGAAGCACCGGCUAACUCCGUGCCAGCAGCCGCGGUAAUAC